GACGAACGCUGGCGGCGUGCUUAACACAUGCAAGUCGAACGGACAGGCCCUGCUUUUGUGGGGUGCUCGAGUGGCGAACGGGUGAGUAACCCGUGAGUAACCUGCCCUUGACUUUGGGAUAACUUCAGGAAACUGGGGCUAAUACCGGAUAGGAGCUCCUGCUGCAUGGUGGGGGUUGGAAAGUUUCGGCGGUUGGGGAUGGACUCGCGGCUUAUCCGCUUGUUGGUGGGGUAGUGGCUUACCAAGGCUUUGACGGGUAGCCGGCCUGAGAGGGUGACCGGCCACAUUGGGGCUGAGAUACGGCCCAGACUCCUACGGGAGGCAGCAGUGGGGAAUAUUGCACAAUGGGCGGAAGCCUGAUGCAGCAACGCCGCGUGCGGGAUGACGGCCUUCGGGUUGUAAACCGCUUUCGCCUGUGACGAAGCGUGAGUGACGGUAAUGGGUAAAGAAGCACCGGCUAACUACGUG
rnacentral:rRNA from 1 species